rnacentral:rRNA from 1 species
GACGAACGCUGGCGGCGUGCUUAACACAUGCAAGUCGAACGGAAAGGCCCUGCUUUUGUGGGGUGCUCGAGUGGCGAACGGGUGAGUAACACGUGAGUAACCUGCCAUUGACUUUGGGAUAACUUCAGGAAACUGGGGCUAAUACCGGAUAGGAGCUCCUGCUGCAUGGUGGGGGUUGGAAAGUUUCGGCGGUUGGGGAUGGACUCGCGGCUUAUCAGCUUGUUGGUGGGGUAGUGGCUUACCAAGGCUUUGACGGGUAGCCGGCCUGAGAGGGUGACCGGCCACAUUGGGACUGAGAUACGGCCCAGACUCCUACGGGAGGCAGCAGUGGGGAAUAUUGCACAAUGGGCGGAAGCCUGAUGCAGCAACGCCGCGUGCGGGAUGACUGCCUUCGGGUUGUAAACCGCUUUCGCCUGUGACGAAGCGUGAGUGACGGUAAUGGGUAAAGAAGCACCGGCUAACUACGUG